UGCCAAGCCUGUCUCAGCUCAGAGUCACAACCUGGAGCAGGGUAACAGAGGGCAUGAGCCUCAUUCAGGCUGACCUGGUGGGGAGGCCCUGUGCCUCCCACUGUUUGCUCCUUCUACUGCACAGCUGGAGCAGGGAAUCUAAUUUCUCCUUCUCCUGCCUUAUCUGUUUGCUAGGUCCAUGGGCAAGAGGAAGGUAGCCUCUAAGCCCUGCAUCUGCCCAGAGUCCAAGAGAAACCCCCCCUUCACUCUUCCAAUCAGGGGUUGAACUCUAAUCAGGAACAAAUGAUGAUCGUCCCCACCCAAAUAGUAUACUGAUGUCAGAUGAGAGGAGGCAGCUCUAGUCUCCUGGCCACUGGAUGCUGCCAUAACUCAGGGAUCCUAUUGGUAGGAAGACUGUCCUUCAAGUCUGCCAUGUGGCCAUCCGACUGGCUUCCAUGGGCUUUCCUAAGCCAAGCUCCAAUCAUCCAUCCGUCUGAGAAAGCAUGAAGAGGCUGGUCUGUAGAUCCAGCAGCAGAGAGGAAUGGUCCUGAGACCAGGAGCCUGGAGAGCAUCAACAGCAAGGAAGCAAAGAGCAGGAUGCAGGUUGGGACCUCUGGAGACUUCAGAAGAAGACACUACCCAGGUCGUGCAGCUCCAGGUGGGGCCGAGGGGUCAGCCUUCAGCCUCUAACAGGAGCCAAGGCUAAGGCCUCUCCUUCUCCAAGUUUCUAAAAAACAUAC
rnacentral:lncRNA from 1 species